rnacentral:rRNA from 1 species
UAUCUCUGUAGAGUCUGCAUAUCAAUAAGCGGAGGAAAAGAAACUAACUAAGGAUUCCCCUCAGUAGCGGCGAGUGAAGCGGGAAGAGCUCAAAUUUGAAAUCUUCAAGGGUUCUACCUUUACGAAUUGUAGUUUAAAGAAGUGUUUUCUGUUGAGGUUUUGGUAAAAGUUCUUUGGAAUAGGACAUCAUAGAGGGUGAGAAUCCCGUAUUUGACCUUUACUUUCAACUUUGUGAUACACUUUCAAAGAGUCGGAUUGUUUGGGAAUGCAGUCCAAAAUGGGUGGUAAAUUUCAUCUAAAGCUAAAUAUUGGCGAGAGACCGAUAGCGAACAAGUACCGUGAGGGAAAGAUGAAAAGAACUUUGAAAAGAGAGUUAAACAGUACGUGAAAUUGUCAAAAGGGAAGCGUUUGACACCAGUGUUGUUUUUCUGAAAAUCAAUUAAAGAACUGUUUAUGCUAAGCUGUUUAGACUUUAUCAGCUAUCUGUUUAGUUUUGAGCUUUUCUUUAAUGCACUUUUCAGUUAACAAGUCAACAUCAAUUUCUUUUGCUGUAAAAAAGCUUGAGGAAGGUGGCUUGAGAUUCGUCUUAAGUGUUUAUAGCCUCUUGCCUAUGCAGUCGGAGAGAUUGAGGUCUGCAGCGUAGAUCCUUCGGGGCUAAAUGCAUUUGUGCUAAGUUAUAGCAUUUUAUAGACAACUUGUUGACUAUGAUUUGUCUUGUAGCUUACUCGCUUAUGUUAUUUUACCUACGCUUAGGAUGUUGACGAUCAGCUGAGCGCG